rnacentral:tRNA from 1 species
GGGGUUGUAGCUCAGUGGUAGAGUGCUUGCCUAGCACACAUGAGGCCCUGAGUUCAACCCCCAGUACCACCU